UACGAAGGGGGCUAGCGUUGUUCGGAAUUACUGGGCGUAAAGCGUGCGCAGGCGGUUUUGUAAGCCAGAUGUGAAAUCCCCGGGCUCAACCUGGGAAUGGCAUUUGGGACUGCAAGGCUGGAGUACGGCAGAGGAGACUGGAAUUCCUGGUGUAGCAGUGAAAUGCGUAGAUAUCAGGAGGAAUACCGAUGGCGAAGGCAGGUCUCUGGGCUGAUACUGACGCUCAUGCACGAAAGCGUGGGGAGCAAACAGG
rnacentral:rRNA from 1 species